UGAAUAUUUUCGCUGAAUCCAUGUUUUUUGGAAUGGGAGAACCAAUCUUUUGGGGUGAAUCACUAAUUUUAGUGUAGGGUAUUAAUCCGAAUCCGUCAGCUAAUCUCGUAAGCGUUAUUAAGUGGGGAA
rnacentral:sRNA from 2 species